rnacentral:rRNA from 1 species
CCUACGGGGGGCAGCAAUGAGGAAUAUUGCGCAAUGGGCGAAAGCCUGACGCAGCGACGCCGCGUGGGUGAGGAAGUCCUUCGGGAUGUAAAGCCCUUUUGCUGGGGACGAGAUCCGACGGUACCCAGCGAAUAAGCCCCGGCUAACUACGUGCCAGCAGCCGCGGUAAUACGUAGGGGGCAAGCGUUGUCCGGAUUUACUGGGCGUAAAGCGCGCGUAGGCGGACGCUUAAGUGGGGCCUGAAAGCCCCCGGCUCAACCGGGGAGGGCGGUUCCAUACUGGGCGUCUUGAGGGCGAUAGAGGUCGGUGGAAUUCCUGGUGUAGCGGUGAAAUGCGUAGAGAUCAGGAGGAACACCCGUGGCGAAGGCGGCCGACUGGGUCGGCCCUGACGCUGAGGCGCGAAAGCGUGGGGAGCGAACGGGAUUAGAUACCCUGGUAGU